rnacentral:rRNA from 1 species
GAUGAACGCUAGCGACAGGCCUAACACAUGCAAGUCGAGGGGCAGCACAUGCGUAGCAAUACAAUGGUGGCGACCGGCGCACGGGUGAGUAACACGUAUGCAACCUACCUGUAAGAGGGGAAUAACCCGGAGAAAUUCGGACUAACACCGCAUAAUACCUCGAAGUUGCAUGGCUUUGAGGUUAAAUAUUUAUAGCUUACAGAUGGGCAUGCGUAACAUUAGAUAGUUGGUGAGGUAACGGCUCACCAAGUCAACGAUGUUUAGGGGUUCUGAGAGGAAGGUCCCCCACACUGGUACUGAGACACGGACCAGACUCCUACGGGAGGCAGCAGUGAGGAAUAUUGGUCAAUGGGCGAGAGCCUGAACCAGCCAAGUCGCGUGAAGGAAGAAGGUUCUAUGGAUUGUAAACUUCUUUUGUAAGGGAAUAAAAAAGCUUACGUGUAGGCUAUUGUAUGUACUUUACGAAUAAGGAUCGGCUAACUCCGUGCCAGCCGCCGCAGUAA